GCUAACAAACUAGAACAAUCAGCAAGAGAAAUUGGACCACAUUUGUAGAACGAAAUGUUAUUAGAGCAUGAAAAUUUGCUUUAUUAUCGUUUUAAUUAAGGGGAAUUUGGGUGAAUGCCCCUGCCAACAGGGCCAUGAGGAUUUAUAGCCAUCAAUACGUGAAAGUUUUUAUUUUGUCCUCUAUUUUUUCAAUAUUCCUAAAGUAGGCUUAUACCAAAAACAAGGGUUCACUUUUUCUUGAAACAUUUUAUUUCGCCCUUGGUUCCACCAGUGUUCUUCUUCUCGUCGUAAAGGAAAUAGGUCGGUUCGGGGGACAAAGGCGCGUUCCGAAGUGGGUCUAAUGCCAUCAUAGGGGAAAGUGAAAGGAAGUUUUGCGGUGGUGAAGAAAUCCAGUGAUCCCCACAACGAAUUCAGGACUUCAAUGGUGGAAAUGAUCGUGGAGAAACAGAUCUUCUCGGCUAAAGAUCUUGCGCAGCUUUUGCAGUGUUUUUUGUCACUAAAUUCACACCAUCAUCAUAAGGUCAUCGUUGAAGUUUUCACAAGGAAAUGGUGUUUCACGAGCAGAUUUCAUGGCCUUUGUUGAUCAUGACCACUGUUGGAUGGUUAAAGUAAGUCUUAUAAUUCCUUAUUAUUUUUAUUUUUUCCAUUAAUUUUUCGAGAGAAUAUGUAUGGGUUUGGCAGGUUGUAGUGACAUGUUUUGGUUUGGUUCUAUAAAUUUUGCAAGAAGAAGUUCAGUUUUUAAUGAAUCCUGCAGUGAAUAGGCAUCCAAACUUGGUGAAAUUGAUUGGUUAUUUCUGUGAAAAAGAAGUGAGAGGUGUGGUUUAUGACUUUAACCCAAAGGACACUUUGCACAAUUUGAACCUAGCGGGUACAUAUCUACAUAGCAAAAUCCACACAAUUUUUUUAUAUUGUCAAUCAAUUUCAUAUUAUUGAAAUCUUUAAUAGAAGGUUUUUGCUAAUGUUAUAGACACCUUGACUUCAGCAAAUACAGGACAUAUAUACCUAUAAAAAAAAAAAAUACCAAGAAAAAAAAAAAAUGAUAUAGAUGGAUUAUGGUUAAAAUUUCUUUGUUUUGGAGUAGCAUGUUGAAUAAAAUUUCUUUGUUUUGGAGUGGCACGUUUGAUAUGUAUUAUUACCAUUGGUAUCCUUUUUUUUUUUUUUUUUUUUUUUGAACUAGAUAUAACUUUCUAGGAUAGACGAAGAUGGAAAAAAAUAAAAAUAAAAAAAUAAUGUUCAUAUUUCAUUGUUAGGAGUUAGGACCUCCUUUUAUUUGCUAUAGUUUCACCAGAUAAGUUGGGAGUUAAUAAAGGAUGAGCAAGGUGUCUCUGUGUUUGUCUGCCAUGCUUCACUAGCUAUGCUUAGUGGAUGCUUUACUAAAAUCCAUUUAAUGGUGAAGCAAUAAUAGGGUUUCUUCCAUCUCUAUCUCUCAAUAUAAACAAGAAAUCUGUGAGAGUAUCGAAGUUAAAAAUAAAAAAUAACAAAAAUGGCGGAAGAGAGUAGAGAGAUGCUGCUGAAGAAGGUGGUUUACUGUGAGAAUUGCCCAGGUUGUAAGGUGGAAUAGUACAAAGAGACACAACGUGGUUUACCAAUUCGAGACCUUCUUUUUAUUGGGAUUGUUAUGUUGUGUAAUGCAUAUUGACACUAUUUUGUAUUUCAUAUGAAAAAGGAGGUUUGAUAAUGAGAAGAUGUUCACCAACAUUUGUGCCAUAUUAGACGUGCUAUUUUGGUCAUCCAUCAAAGGGCGUUAUCCCAUAAGGAGGGCAUCUCGUAGCACAUAUUCAUGUGAUGCGACCCUUUGUAGCUAUGUGCGUGGGAAGUCACCCAAACCUAGCGUGUCGUGGCGGAUAUGUGAUUAUUGUACAUCCCUGUCAACAAUGGAGGUGCGCAUGUGUGGACUUGAAGGCCCGACAUAUUGAUUUAUACGAUCCAAAUAUGGGAAAUAAAUAUGUCCAGAAUGGAGAGUUGAAGAAUGCGGAAUGCCUUACGUAUAUGAUGCCUUACCUAUUGAGGGAUGGGGGAUAUUACAAGAAGAAUCCGGACGUGCCUCCCACUUUAUAUCCAUUCACGAUGACCAUGAUCAAAGAUGUACCCCGCCAAGAUAAUGGGGGUGAUUGUGGCGUCUACGCUUUGAAAUUUAUUGAAUACAUGAGUAGUGAGGAGAAUCCUUCAUUUGGUCCGCAAGACAUUAUGUUUUUUAGAAAAAAAUAUGCUGUUGAUUUGUAUUUUAAUAAACUUUCAACGUAGAUCGUAUGUUUAAUGUUAUGACCUCUAUACUAAUGUUAUCUUAAUAUGCUGAACC